rnacentral:rRNA from 1 species
UACGGAGGGUGCAAGCGUUAAUCGGAAUUACUGGGCGUAAAGCGCACGCAGGCGGUCAGUUAAGUCAGAUGUGAAAUCCUCGAGCUUAACUCGGGAAUUGCAUCUGAUACUGGCUGUCUUGAGUCUGGUAGAGGGGGGUAGAAUUCCAUGUGUAGCGGUGAAAUGCGUAGAGAUGUGGAGGAAUACCAGUGGCGAAGGCGGCCCACUGGACAAAGACUGACGCUGAGGUGCGAAAGCGUGGGGAGCAAACAGG